AUUGAACGCUGGCGGCAGGCCUAACACAUGCAAGUCGAGCGGAUGAAGGGAGCUUGCUCCUGGAUUCAGCGGCGGACGGGUGAGUAAUGCCUAGGAAUCUGCCUGGUAGUGGGGGAUAACGUCCGGAAACGGGCGCUAAUACCGCAUACGUCCUGAGGGAGAAAGUGGGGGAUCUUCGGACCUCACGCUAUCAGAUGAGCCUAGGUCGGAUUAGCUAGUUGGUGGGGUAAAGGCCUACCAAGGCGACGAUCCGUAACUGGUCUGAGGGGAUGAUCAGUCACAGGGGAAUGGAGACAGGUUCAGACUCCUACGGGAGGCAGCAGUGGGGAAUAUUGGACAAUGGGCGAAAGCCUGAUCCAGCCAUGCCGCGUGUGUGAAGAAGGUCUUCGGAUUGUAAAGCACUUUAAGUUGGGAGGAAGGGCAGUAAGUUAAUACCUUGCUGUUUUGACGUUACCAACAGAAUAAGCACCGGCUAACUUCGUG
rnacentral:rRNA from 1 species